GAUGAACGCUGGCGGCGUGCCUAAUACAUGCAAGUCGAGCGAACAGACGAGGAGCUUGCUCCUCUCACGUUAGCGGCGGACGUGUGAGUCACACGUGUAUAACCUACCUAUAAGACUGGGAUCACUUCGGGAAACCGGAGCUAAUCCCGGAUAAUAUAUUGAACCGCAUGGGUCAAUGGUAAGAUACGGUUUUGCUGUCACUUAUAGAUGGAUCCCGGCCGCAUUAGCUAGUUGGUAAGUUAACGGCUUACCAAGGGAACGAUGCGUAGCCGAGGGGAGAGGGGGAUCGGCCACACUGGAACUGGGACGGGGUCAAUAGUACUACGGGAGGCAGCAGUAUGGAAUCUUACGCAACGGGCGAAAGCCUGACGGAGCAACGGCGAGUGAGAGAUGACGGUGUUCCGAUCGUGAAGCUCUGUUACUAGGGAAGAACAAAUGUGGAAGGAACUAUGCACGUCGUGACGGUAACUGAUAAGAAAGCAACGGCUAACUACGUG
rnacentral:rRNA from 1 species